UGACGGUACCUAAUCAGAAAGCCACGGCUAACUACGUGCCAGCAGCCGCGGUAAUACGUAGGUGGCAAGCGUUAUCCGGAAUUAUUGGGCGUAAAGCGCGCGUAGGCGGUUUUUUAAGUCUGAUGUGAAAGCACACGGCUCAACCGUGGAGGGUCAUUGGAAACUGGAAAACUUGAGUGCAGAAGAGGAAAGUGGAAUUCCAUGUGUAGCGGUGAAAUGCGCAGAGAUAUGGAGGAACACCAGUGGCGAAGGCGACUUUCUGGUC
rnacentral:rRNA from 1 species